rnacentral:lncRNA from 1 species
AGGAGAACGGGGGGAGGACGUAGGUCUUUCAUUGGUGAAUCAUCCGUGUACCACCUCUUUUGGAUAUCAAGAUAGAGCCCCAGCGAAUCAACAAGUUUCUGUCGCGAGCACUCGUUUGUAUGUUCCACGAUACACAUCAGAAUAGCAUAGAAAAGGCCGGAGCGAGUAUCUUGUAGCUGCCCUCAUAGACUUCGGGAUUCCCGCCAUAAUAAGCAUUUCAGCUGGCUUCUGGUCGUUUUCACAAGCUCAGAUGUUCAAUCUGAGCGAUAUUCUGAUGUACCAUCUCGUGCGGCCGUUGUCUUGACUUCACUGCACAGCUAUAUUUCUGUCGAAGAAGAUCCUUCACGGACACAGUUAGUGGAAAGUGUCCUUACUUUUUCUGACGGCAGCACGCUGGACCCACAUGAAGACUCCUCAGCGACGUCUACUGAUAUGUGAUGUUCCAGGUCCCAUUGCCACUCACAAAAACUCGGUGGUCACGCUCAAGAAAGAAGCCCUUGGGUAAGCUGUCAGGGUAGCCGUUUCCGUGUUUUUCCUAAGCUUACUGCAAAGCUUCUGGAUCAUACAGGGAAAACCGUUCGUAUUAUGAGUCCUAGCGUCUUCACGCUGGAUUUUGAGACGGUGUAACUAACCCUCCGUAGGUGUGAGUUCCUUUUCAGUGACUCCUAACUCGUCAGGCGCCUCAUAACACGGCUCCGGUACUCAGAGGUGCAACGGGUAUGCAGACGGAAUUCAAAUGAACAUUUUCGCCUACCCCCUCAGCGUCUCUGCCAGGACGGGAAACCAGGCAAUGCCGCAAGAACAGUCGUUCAUAGUGCUGGGUUGCAACCGUCUGUGUCGUAUGACCUUGGAGUGACCCCAGAAAGGCAUGACGUGAAUACCGUGCUGUAGGGUAGGUGCCUCGUCCCGAUGCAUCCGAGGCUGUCACUCGCCUAACGCAAUCUUCGCACCUGGAAAGUACCAUCCGCUAUCUGAUUGGGGUGUGCUACCGCCUUCUUGCCAGCGACUUUUUGCCAUGAGUGUGAUCUCGUCAUUCUCCAGUAUCAGGAUCAAAGUUAAUUUUUUCACCCAUAUGACGUGACCCGUGAUCGCUGCGUAGCUUGCGCUGGCGUUCCCAUCCGACAGGUAUUCGCGCAGUGCGUAAUUGUACACAGUCGUAAACGUACUUCUUUAGUUCACAGUCACCGGGACUCACUUUAUGAGUCACCAAAGCGGCAAGGCUCGGUUGGUCGCUCGACAACUGUUUCAGCGAUCGUACCGCUUUCGCUUCCUUCACAUGGGGAGAGUGUUUUAUGGAGAUGCUCAUUAUUGCCGAUUCCAAGUGUCCGCUCCGAAAUUGGGAAGACGGGUGUCAGGGGUAUUUCCACACUUAGUUCGUACAAAUGUCAGCGGACGCUGUGCUGCGGAAAAUCAUGCAAUAUGCUAGCCUGCCUCUUCAUAAUAAAAUAUACUGUGGGAGGAUUUCCAUCCCUCUUUCUUCGUAGGGAAGUUAGUGUUCUGAGAGUUGCUCUAGCGUUUUUGUACGUCUUACAACCCGAGAGGUUGCGUUCGUGGUAUCACUGAGUUACGCAUUUGCACCAGAAUUCUUGAAUGAGACUCGGCACUAACACGGUAUCCUAUCACUAGUGAACCGAGUGGUAGCAACCCGUCAUCCUUAAUUGCAUCUGCC